GAAAACCCUUUCGAGGAGUAUGCUAAGACGAAAGGUUCUUUUGAGCAUUUGAAAAUAUAAGAAUUUUGCUAAGUGUUAUUUGUUAAUUUCGGUUGGUGACCCUUUACAAUUAUUGUGGAAAUUUGGGCUUUGCCCUUAGAUGAUACCCGAGUUCAUUCCACCGACUGUUACCUUGACGACGGAGACGUCGUUAGACUUCCCUGAUCGAGACUCGCCGACU
rnacentral:lncRNA from 1 species